UGGGGCGGUCACCCGCUCCGUAGCCUGCUGGUCACUUUAAGACCCAGUCUCGUUCGUAAUUAACCCUGCCUCCUCAGGAAGCCACCGCUUAGCACGCUCGCUUAUAAACAGAAGCACAGGAGGCCUCGCUCUCCACGCCUCGCUGGAGAAAAGCUGGGUUAUCACAGAAAGCCACGGUAAGGCCUGAAGCCUUCUUGUGUCGGUGGCAGAGUGCUGACCAGGUAUUUGGGGGACGGUGGUGUCAUUUCCUUCCACCGGCAAAUCUGAAGUCACUUGAGAGACGUCUGAGCAACACUGUUUGCAGACACAGGAAAGGGCCAGAAGCUCACAUGAGGACAAGGCCCCUGCUGGAGCUCGGUCCUGUUGACCAGCCGUGUGACGGGCUGUCAGCGUCACCGUGUUUACACGAGGGAUUAAAUAAAUAGUCUCUGGGCAGCUGCUGGUUUUACUCUCCGCUUUUCAGACUCAGAAUGAUGUUCCAGAAGAGCGAGCCUCUGACCCAGUAUAUUGAGCAGAAGCAGCUUGGAGCACUGGGACUGGAACAAAGUAUGUGCCCAGUACCGGAGACACGUGGACGAAUCCAUGAACGACUGACCAGAUUACAGAUGCUCAGCUCGUGCUGAAAGGAAAGUGCUCAUGCGAGUGCAAAAAAGGACCCUUGCUUGCAGAACGCAGAUGAGAAAAAAGCACGCACUCUCCUCGGAGAGCUUGCGAACCUCACAUGCAUUUAACAAGUGGGAAGUGAAGGGAGAAAGAGAGGAAACAGUCACGCAGAGGAAACGGGAAAGGCAGGAACUGGAAGUAGCUGCUUCCUGUAUUAGUCCAUUAGACCGUGGCUCUGAGCGUGCCUCCUCCGAGUGGUCACCCCACAGCCUGAAGUUCCUGACGUCCCGGGCGUACGUCCUCUUCUCCCUCACCAAUGUCCCUGCUGUUUCAGGGCCCUUUUUCCCGAUGAAGAGGUGCUUUGGGUUCCCCUAGCUCUGCUGCUUGAGGGGGGCUGCUGAUCGGGGGAUUGAGGAAGGGUUCCGAGAGUACCAGGUAUGGGGGACAAGGUGGGACCGUGGGGCUGCAAAGCAGGAGGCAGAAGACGUCUGUUCACGGGGUCAUCACAGCAACACCUGCUCGUGCGGUCAUCAGAACAAUCGAUUCCGGCUUCAGAAAACAGGGCUGCCACAACCACACCAGGUGCAAAAUGAGCCCAGGUGAGGAAACGAAAGCUACCAGCUGGGAAUCUCUGUGAAAACCAGAUAAUUGGAUAGCUCUGCCGCCCUCACUUUGUGGCAAGACAAACCUGCAGUGACCUGAUAGCCUGAGAAAGGAUUUCCCGAGGCUUGAGCUCAUGACUCAACAACAAACCCCAGCAGAGGCUAAGGGAGAUUGUUGUUCAGGCUGACGGUGUGUUUCCUCUGCUGGACACGGCUACCAAGUUCUAGAAAGUGUAAGGAAGCAAAGAGGCCGCUGCAGAACGUAGAGGUAUUUUCGCAGAAAGUAAACUACGACGGGAAACUCGAUGUGGAUGCCGGUAGCAUAAGAAGCUUGGAAUGAACGUGACGUUGCUGUGAAGUAACCGAAGCUGAGAGAACUAGUUUUGCUACUUAACUGAGUAAACUGGGCGACCACCUCAUUUCCCCGGCCCCCGACGUCUUCCUCUCCUGUCGUUGUUGUUGAGGUGUGGUUGAUCUACAAUGUGGUGUGAGUUUCAGGGGCACAGCACAGGGUUCCGACACAUCAGUGUGCACAGGUGCACACCCGUGCGCUUCUACAGGCCCUUUCCCCUGGUCUCCUUUCUUCAGUCACCUCGUUCUUAUCUCCAGCCCUCUGCUUCCUGGUCCUUACUGUUCUCUAUCCAGAAUCAUUAGGUCUGUUCUACAGGGAAAGUCACCCCCUGCUUCCCCGGAAAAGCUGUCAGACAGGAGAGGAAGUGACAGAUUUCUCACCUACUACCAAGAAGGGGAAGGCGCUGAGCACCUAAAUGAGUCAUGAGUGUCCGCGUUCCACCUGUAAAUUCAGCCGCAUGCCUCACCCGUUUGCCUUGAUUUCCUCUUCCUCCACGGUCCCCAGGAAGGAGACCAUUUACUGCCCUAACAUAGGGCUCUGUUACACGGUCACUCCAUUUCCCAAGGGUCUUACUUCGACCCUGUCUGGUGGUGAAGGGCCCACGACUGUGCUCAGGCAACGCGGCAAUGAAUGGGUCGCUUACUGAAGUCUGCUCUCUCCUCCUCGUGGUCUCCGGAGGAGCUGUUACUUGGCAUCGCUUCCUGCAGUUGCACCAUUAAGGGGGUGUCACCAGGUCAACCACAAGGACCCUCACCUCCGAGAAAGUGGCAUGUUGUCAUUACACAACUGGCAUUUACAGAAACCAUCAACACGGCAAAACAGUGCACGGCUGUGUGCACAGCAAACAAACAGGAGUCAGGAGUCGGGGAGAAGUGGGUCUGAACCUCUGCACCUCUUCCAGCAGCCUGUUUCCUCACCCGGAAGAUGGGAAAACAGCAGUAUUUCCCUCACAGAGUCACUGCGAGGAUGAAGAAUGCACCUUGCACAUGGCGCGCUCCCUGGCAUCUCGCUUGUGCCUAUAGGCAGCUUCCCGGCUUUACAGCUUUACGAGUUAACCCGGCUACCCUGGCAGCGUCGAGAUGAGGCAGGUGAGGGAGCGUGACUGUCACCCCCAUUUCACAAAACAGUGAAAUCGGAUCGGACGGAUGAGCUGACGUGCACGUUCACGAAGCAGGUGGCGGAGCCGGCACUGAACCCCAGGGUCCCGGGGCCUCCGAGAUGCACACUCAUUCUCAUAGUGUGUCAGACUGUCUGUUGAUAGAAACCUCUUUUAUGACUCACAUAAAAGGAUUCUACUUGGUUCUAGCAUCGACCACGUGAAGCAGGCGGGCUAGACCUUGCUUUGCAAGUUGACAAACGAAGGCAGCAGAGCGGCAGGGACCCAGUGGGCGGCCUCUCACCCAGUUCCCCGCCCAGGGAACCAGCCCGCGACUCUGCCCCGAGAAACAAAGUCCUUCUUGAACCAGCGCAGAAUCUGGUGUUUCAGUUAGCUACCCCUGCCCUAAAGACCUCCAAAAAUUAACUAUUUUCCGUCUACAGAAGGCAAUUCCAGCAAGUCCCUCCCAGAAUUUCUUAAGGGGCCCUUUGGACAAGCUGCCUAAUAAACGCAGUCUGGAGACGCCACCUGGUCUCGGCUCCGCUUUGCAGACGCUGGAGGUGGAGGCGACGGCGGAGGCGUAGGGAGGGUGCGCACUGGCCCCGGGCCACCUGCGCGGCAGCGCGGGAGGGUCCCCGACGGCCCUUUGCAGACCCAGCUGGGCGGGGCUGCCCCCGCCCGGGAGAGGAGACGCUGUGGCGCCGUGGGAGCGCUGGUAAUUCUGCAACCAGCAGAUGGAAGGGCAGAGAGAGAUCACCAGGAACCCUCUCAUUGCGAGAAGCGUCAGAACUGGAUUUGAUGGUCAAGUAAGGUCUCACCUCUGAUGAAAAGCAUCCAUCACGUCUGGCUCAGUCACCCGCGGUGCCGCGCCUGCAGCCAGCUCUGCCUUAGACUCCCAGUUAUCUGACACCAUUCGUUUCCUUUGUUUAAGUCAGUUUGGGGCAAAAGCAUCCCUGGACAUAAUGAGGGAAAGAACGGAACCAAAGAGCAUAACAGACAACACGUUUGUCUGAGCCUUAAAUAGAAAAACACUGCUGGUGGGAAUGCAGUUUGGUGCAGCCACUGUGGAAAACAGUGUGGAGAUUCCUCAAAAGACUAGGAAUAGACUGACCAUAUGACCCAGGAAUCCCACUCCUGGGCUUGUAUCCAGAAGGAAUCCUACUUCAGGAUGACACCUGCACCCCAAUGUUCAUAGCCGCACUAUUUACAACAGCCAAGACAUGGAAACAACCUAAAUGUCCACCAACAGAUGACUGGAUAAAGAAGAUGUGGUAUGUUUAUAUGAUGGAAUACUAUUCAGCCAUAAAAACUGACAACAUAACGCCAUUUGCAGCAACAUGGAUGUUCCUGGAGAAUGUCAUUCUAAGUGAAAUAAGCCAGAAAGAGAAAGAAAAAUACCAUAUGAGAUCGCUCAUAUGUGGAAUCUAAAAAAAAAAACAUAAAUACAAAACAGAAACAGACUCAUAGACAUACAAUACAAACUUGUGGUUGCCAAUGGGGUGGGAAGGGACAGACUGGGAUUUCAAAAUGUAGAAUAGAUAAACAAUAUUAUACUGUACAGCACAGGGAAAUAUAUACAAGAUCUUAUGGUAGCUCACAGAGAAAAAAAAGUGACAAUGAAUGUAUGCAUGCUCAUGUAUAACUGGAAAAUGUGCUCUACACUGGAAAUUGACACAACAUUGUAAAAUGACUAUAACUCAAUAAAAAAAAGUUAAAUAAAUAAAUAAAACUGUUC